GACGAACGCUGGCGGCGUGCUUAACACAUGCAAGUCGAACGGUGAAGCGCCUUCCUUUUUGGUGGGUGUGGAUGAGUGGCGAACGGGUGAGUAACACGUGAGUAACCUGCCCCCUUCUUCUGGAUAACCGCAUGAAAGUGUGGCUAAUACGGGAUAUUCUGGGUCUGUCGCAUGAUGGGUCUGGGAAAGAUAUUGUUUCGGUGGGGGAUGGGCUCGCGGCCUAUCAGCUUGUUGGUGGGGUGAUGGCCUACCAAGGCGGUGACGGGUAGCCGGCCUGAGAGGGUGGACGGUCACACUGGGACUGAGACACGGCCCAGACUGCGACGGGGGGCAGCAGUGGGGAAGAGUGCACAAUGGGCGCAAGCCUGAUGCAGCGACGCCGCGUGAGGGAUGGAGGCCUUCGGGUUGUGAACCUCUUUCGCCAGUGAAGCAGGCCUGCCUCGUUUGUGGGUGGGUUGACGGUAGCUGGAUAAGAAGCGCCGGCUAACUACGUG
rnacentral:rRNA from 1 species